UGGCACAGUGGUUAAGAGCUUGGCUGCUAACCAAAUGAUCGGUGGUUCAAAUCCACC
rnacentral:tRNA from 1 species